ensembl:lncRNA
UCGACUGCCAUUGGGCGCCAGACGGCUUGGAUGUAUUAAUGAGAAUCAGACUAUUUUGUUGUCUGGCUUCUCUCUGUAAUGUGCAUCAAUUGAAAAGCCUAUCCUUCCACGUCUCAGGAGGGCCAGAUGGUACACACCUGCGAUAUAUAGAAACAGCCAAAUUGCUAUUCUGAUGAUGCGCUACACCAAAGAUGCUACCAUAGUGAUUGUGGUUGUCCAAUCCUGUCCCUGAAGGGAAAAGGCACCAAACCACGACAUCUUCGAGUUGAUUACAAUGCCUCUAAGUCUUUGAUAAGUCGAAGAGGAUGAGACUAAACAGGGGGCUAUUCAGGACUUAACCAGUUCACCAGUAACUUGGCAACUGACGAUGCCUUUGCGGUUUACUGAAGCAAUCCACUGGGACCUUGCAGGCUUCAAAUAGCUUUUGGCCUUUGGAGAAGAUCAUGUUAAAGAAGCUCUGACGAAGGCCUUGAGGCAGAUUAUUAAUAAAAAGCGUGAUACUAAAGCGAGCGGUGUUAUGUUAUUCAAUUGGUAAUAUGCAACAAAGAUGGCUCAAAUGGGGAAGUGUCUUUUGAAUUUGGGAAAGAUGGUGUUCAAAUUCAUUGGAUUGAUCACAUCUCACAAUCUAAAUUUUAAGGGAGUAUAUUGCAUUGGAAGCCUAAUUUGAAGAUUAUACUUGUCAUGUAGUAAACUGGACUUGUUCAAAACAGACAUUACUGCAUUGAAGAGGAACUGCCCCCUAAUAAUCCAAAUCCUUUUGAAAAUAGCCUGUGGUAUCAUUUUAUUCUAGUGUCAAUUGACAUAAGUGAGAUUACUUUGGUUAUCGUAAACUAAGUUUGACACCUCUGUCACAAGGAGUAAAGUUAGGGCUGGGUUUGUAUUACAUUUGUCAAAUCAUGCCCCCCUUAGACUUGCUGUGCAAAUUGCCCAUGUUACUUAGCUAUGAGAAACUAGCCACAAAGAU